AGUGAACGCUGGCGGCAGGCCUAACACAUGCAAGUCGAACGGCAGCACAAGAGAGCUUGCUCUCUGGGUGGCGAGUGGCGGACGGGUGAGGAAUGCAUCGGAAUCUGCCCAUUUGUGGGGGAUAACCUCGGGAAACCGGGACUAAUACCGCAUACGACCUACGGGUGAAAGCAGGGGAUCUUCGGACCUUGCGCAGAUGGAUGAGCCGAUGCCGGAUUAGCUAGUUGGAGGAGUAAAGGCCCACCAAGGCGACGAUCCGUAGCUGGUCUGAGGGGAUGAUCAGCCACACUGGGACUGAGACACGGCCCAGACUCCUACGGGAGGCAGCAGUGGGGAAUAUUGGACAAUGGGCGCAAGCCUGAUCCAGCCAUGCCGCGUGUGUGAAGAAGGCCUUCGGGUUGUAAAGCACUUUUGUUGGGAAAGAAAAGCAGCCGGUUAAUACCCGGUUGUCAUGACGGUACCCAAAGAAUAAGCACCGGCUAACUUCGUG
rnacentral:rRNA from 1 species